rnacentral:rRNA from 1 species
GUCAGCAGCCGCGGUAACACCGGCGGCCCGAGUGGUGAUCGUGAUUAUUGGGUCUAAAGGGUCCGUAGCCGGUUGGUCAGUCCUCCGGGAAAUCUGAUAGCUCAACUAUUAGGCUUUCGGGGGAUACUGCCAGACUUGGAACCGGGAGAGGUAAGAGGUACUACAGGGGUAGGAGUGAAAUCUUGUAAUCCCUGUGGGACCACCUGUGGCGAAGGCGUCUUACCAGAACGGGUUCGACGGUGAGGGACGAAAGCUGGGGGGCACGAACCGGAUUAGAUACCCGGGUAGUCCCAGCCGUAAACGAUGCUCGCUAGGUGUCAGGCAUGGCGCGACCGUGUCUGGUGCCGCAGGGAAGCCGUGAAGCGAGCCACCUGGGAAGUACGGCCGCAAGGCCGAAACUUAAAGGAAUUGGCGGGGGAGCACAACAACGGGUGGAGCCUGCGGUUUAAUUGGACUCAACGCCGGACAACUCACCGGGGGCGACAGCAAUAUGUAGGCCAAGCUGAAGACUUUGCCUGAAUCGCUGAGAGAAGUGGUGCAUGG